GCACCUGUAGCUCAGCUCGGAUUAGAGCGACUCCCUCCUAAGGCGUAGGUCCCAGGUUCAAAUCCUGGCAGGUGCG
rnacentral:tRNA from 1 species